CAUUUGGGAGCGGCGUUUUUUGCCGCCCCCUGAAAAAUGCUGCCCAAGGCAAAUGCCUUGUUUGCCUCGCGGCUAAAACGCCCCUGCUCGCGGGUGCAGUCAUCAUCUUCCGGCAGGUCCUCUUCAGCACAUUAGUGAGAAUACAGCAUUGAGGUCUAUGGAGGAUCCCACAAGUCCGUGGGAUCCUCCAUAGACAGAGCCAAUUCCCUGCAGUGUUUAUUGGUGAUGGCUGCUGGGAUUGACACUUUGAAUCUGCCCAGAGUCUAAGAAAGUCAGGCGGAGGAAAUAUCCACAGACAAAGUAGUCCUUAUUUCGUCACUGUAUAUCUCUUGAUUGGGCUGGAAUUUCAGCAAAAUCCCAACAGUCAAAAUUAGUAUUUCAUAAUAAUUUAAUAAAUACAAAUGUUUCAGGGGGUGACAG